rnacentral:rRNA from 1 species
UACACUCCUACGGGAGGCAGCAGUGGGGAAUAUUGCACAAUGGGCGCAAGCCUGAUGCAGCCAUGCCGCGUGUAUGAAGAAGGCCUUCGGGUUGUAAAGUACUUUCAGCGGGGAGGAAGGCGAUAAGGUUAAUAACCUUGUUGAUUGACGUUACCCGCAGAAGAAGCACCGGCUAACUCCGUGCCAGCAGCCGCGGUAAUACGGAGGGUGCAAGCGUUAAUCGGAAUUACUGGGCGUAAAGCGCACGCAGGCGGUCUGUCAAGUCGGAUGUGAAAUCCCCGGGCUCAACCUGGGAACUGCAUUCGAAACUGGCAGGCUAGAGUCUUGUAGAGGGGGGUAGAAUUCCAGGUGUAGCGGUGAAAUGCGUAGAGAUCUGGAGGAAUACCGGUGGCGAAGGCGGCCCCCUGGACAAAGACUGACGCUCAGGUGCGAAAGCGUGGGGAGCAAACAGGAUUAGAAACCCCUGUAGUCCCAUG